AAGAUAGUUUAAAAGUAACAAAGCAAUUAAUUUUCAUAUAUUUUCCCAGUAGGAUGCUUAUGUAUAGCAUAGUUCUUGCAUGAUGAAGUGAGAAAUAAAAUUAUUUUCCAGAACAGACCUGCUUUCCUCGAAUUUUAACACUACUCUCUCCCCCCCUCCCCCCCCCCCCCUCCCUCCUCAUCAUCCUCAGGGGUCCCGAGCCACUUUGAUGUGUCUGAUGUGAUGGAAAAGGGGGGGAAAAAACUGCUGUGCCACAUGUUGGCUGAUGGAAGCGAGGACUUCUUUGAAUCCUGCUCCGCUCCCGGUGAUGAUGGCUCUUCACGGUCUGUAAUGAAUGCUGAGUGCCGCAGCAGCAAGCUCCAAGUUUCCGUCUCUUCAGACACCGCAGGCCGGCCCGUAGUUUUAUGGGGCCACAGGCAGAUUUAGAUCUGGAAGCCCACCACAGAUCCAUCCUUCUUGAUAUUUGGCACCUUUUCAUACAGGGAGAGGAAUGCUGAGUAUGG